UUUGUUCAAAUAAAAGCCCUGGGGUCAAAAUUGGCCCCGCCCUGGGGGGUAAUUGAUUUUCCCUAUAUGCAUAUAGUUUAAACUUAAAAAAUCUUCUUUUAAAGAACCGUAAGAGCUAGAUCUUAGAUAUUUGGCAUAAAACAUCUUCUAGUAAAUGUCUACCAAGUUUGUUCAAAUAAAAGCCCUGGGGUCAAAAUUGGCCCCGCCCCAGGGGGUCAUUGAUUUUCCCUAUAUGCAUAUAGUAAAAACUUAAAAAAUCUUCUUUUAAAGAACUGUAAGAGCUAAAGCUUAUAUAUUUGGCAUGAAACAUCUUCUAGUGAAUGUCUACCAAGUUUGUUCAAAUAAAACCCCUGGGGUCCAAAUUGGCCCCUCCCCAGGGGUCAUUGAUUUUCCUUAUAUGCAUAUAGUAAAAACUUAUAAAAUCUUCUUUUAAAGAACUCAAAGAGCUAGAGCUAAGAUAUUCAGCAUGAGACAUGUUCUAAUGGGUGUCUACCAAGUAUGUUCAAAUAAAAGCCCUGGGGUCAAAACUGGCCCCGCCACGGGGGUCAUUGAUUUUCCUUAUAUACAUAGCAAAAACUUAAAAAUCUUCUUUGAAAAAACCCAAAUAACUAGAGUUUAGAUAUUAAGCAUGAAACAUCUUUAAGUAAAUAUCUACAAAGUUUGUUCAAAUAAAAGCCCAGGGGUCAAAACUGGCCCUGCCCGAGGGGUGUCAUUGUUUUUUACUCUAUGUGUAUAGUAAAAACUUAAAAAAUCUUCUUUUAAAAAACCCAAUGAGCUAGAACUUAGAUGUUUUGCAUGAAACAUCUUCUUAUGGGUGUCUACCAAGUCUGUUCAAAUAAACAAAUAAAAGCCCUUGGGUAAAAAUUGGGCCGGGGGGGGGGGGCUAUAUACAGGUGAGCGACCUCAGGGCCAUCAUGGCCCUCUUGUUUUUUUGUGGUCAUUUUCAUGUUAUGAACUUUUCAUUGCUAUUUAUGCCCUCUUUGCAUAUGUACUUUUCUGAUUCCUGAAAUAAUGCCAGUUUCAAUCAAUCUUCCACUUGAGUGGCCCGAUCUCCCUACUUUCUGUGCUGGUCUGGAUCCAUGCUGGUCGCAAAACCAUAUUUUGGUUUUGUCGUGACACAGCUCAUAUAUUAUAAGGAUUUUGUAUUUAUAUGCUUAUAUAGACAGGGUACGUAUAUUUGCUAUAUGGAGAAUAUUAUAAGAUUGUAUGCAAGCCAGGUUUUCUGAUACCAAGAUCAAUGCCUUAUAUACCUAAAAGGUGAUUAAUUGCCAUCUUUUAUGGUUAUUAACAUUUUUACAUGGAUGUAUAAAUGCUGUAUUGAAAUGAAUUAAAAGCCAUUUUUCCAUAUAUACCUGUUACAGUCAGGUUACAAAUUUCCACAUGUUGUACAAGUAUAAUUAGUUACUAACAAAAGCCUGUAUUUAUCACUCACCUUUAGGUAACAGCUUGAAAAGUGGUUAUAACUCAUAAAUGAUAUCACAGGAAUAGUCGAGUAUAAACCUGAUUUGGUUUGUUUUUCAAAUUUCAGGAAUUUCUAAUCCAAAGUCCCAUGACAAUGUUUUUUUAUAAUAGAAACGACUCAAAAUAUUUUUGUACCCUGUAUUUUUGACAAUUAUAUGCUGAUAGUCAUUUCUUCAUUUAAAAUUUGAUUAUACAUUUUCUGUACGAUGUCAAUUUUAAAUGUUUUAUAUGAUGUUACGUAACAUUCCACAGAAUUUCCAUCAUUCAGAUUUUAUAAUAAAAGCAAACAAGAUCAUUAUCUAAUGUCACAUUCCAUUGGUCUUCCAUAUCAUGGCAUCACAAUGAAUGCAUGAGAAAAUCUGAUAAAAUUGAAUGUUAAUUGAAUUCUUCCAUCUUACAUAAUUUUUCAUUUUGACAUAAAAUUUAAAAAUUAUUGAGACUUUGAGCUGAUACAAUGAACUUUUAUUUGAAUGAAAAUUUAUUUCAUAUAGCAAUUGUGUUAUUUUGUGAUUGAAUUAAUGAAAGCACUGUUGCAUUGUUUAUGGUAUUUUAAAUAUAGUUUGUUAAACAUUUUAAAAGGAUUAACAAAUUCAUUAUAACAUCUGACUCUUUUUCAAUGAAAAUUUAAUGUUUUGUUGAUUGAAGUAAAAGAAUGAUAGUUUGGGUUUAUUUUUGGUCAAAGUUGUUUGUGUGGUUUUACGGCGGACCAAAACAAUUCAGGUGAUAUGGCACCAAAACAGGAAAGAUGAUUUUGGCCUCGGGUGUGACAAACUUUUAGUAACACCAGGUGUCAAAACCAUCCCACCUGCUGGAGCUAAGAGAUACAUAGACUCAGGUAAUUUGAACCCGGUAGCUGCAAUUCCAAUGCUUCUACCCUUAAAGGCAACCCUUCAGCUACAAGGGGUCAAAGGCAUGGUAAAGAUGUAAUUCAAUUAUUUAUUAUAAAACUGACAAAUAAUACUAUAGUAUGUAUGUUGACAGCAGUCAACAAUUAUGUUAUUAGAGUUGUUUCUUAAUUAUACAUGUAUUAUAUUCAGAUUUUAUUGGUAGAUCUUCAGAUAUGAUAUCUUAUAACAUAUGAUAUGUUACUUUGUUAUUAUUAUUUUAUUGAUGUUGUUAUUAAUGAUUCUGUUGUUAUAUUUUAAUUACUGUUACAAGUUUCAUCAUCUGUGAUACACUGAUUUCCAAUAAAUCAUUCUCAAAGGUG